rnacentral:rRNA from 1 species
AUUGAACGCUGGCGGCAGGCCUAACACAUGCAAGUCGAGCGGAUGAAGGGAGCUUGCUCCUGGAUUCAGCGGCGGACGGGCGAGUAAUGCCUAGGAAUCUGCCUGGUAGUGGGGGAUAACGUCCGGAAACGGGCGCUAAUACCGCAUACGUCCUGAGGGAGAAAGUGGGGGAUCUUCGGACCUCACGCUAUCAGAUGAGCCUAGGUCGGAUUAGCUAGUUGGUGGGGUAAAGGCCUACCAAGGCGACGAUCCGUAACUGGUCUGAGAGGAUGAUCAGUCACACUGGAACUGAGACACGGUCCAGACUCCUACGGGAGGCAGCAGUGGGGAAUAUUGGACAAUGGGCGAAAGCCUGAUCCAGCCGUGCCGCGUGUGUGAAGAAGGUCUUCGGAUUGUAAAGCACUUUAAGUUGGGAGGAAGGGCAGUAAGUUAAUACCUUGCUGUUUUGACGUUACCAACAGAAUAAGCACCGGCUAACUUCGUG